ensembl:lncRNA
GUGGGGGAGAAAGAGGGAAAUGCUCCCUACAGCUGGAAAAAAGAAAUAUUCUCACUGAUCCAGUGGAAAAGUCCUUCACACCACUGCCUUGUCGGAGACGGCCCCGCAGGAGCACCGCGUUUCUAAGGACACCGGCCCUGCGCAUUGCCGCUCCUGCACGGACGGACGGACUCUGCUCCCACUCACGUCAGCACUGGGCCUCAUCCAACAACGCGCUGCAGGGAUGAAUUGGGUUUCUGUGCGGUUUUUCCUGAAAGGGAGUCAAAUGACAGGAUUUAAAGUUGCCUCCAGCUUGAAACAGUGAAUGCCAAAGUGCACAUGCUGAGGUGGAACAUUCUCGUCUCCCUGCCUCUAGACACCGGCCACAUGACCAUACGCAUUAAUUUUACGUCUCUAAAAAGCGGUGAGAGGCUUCAUACCAAGUGAUAUGAUUUUGAAUUCAGUGGUGAGAUCCCACCACUCCUGGCCCAGAGGAAGGGGCUUCUGGGCCGCCAUCCAUCCCGCUGCUCCCAGCCCAGAGGAAGGGGCUUCUGAGCCACUGUCCCACCACUCCAAGCUCAGAGGAGCUAUGGAAUCACAGCCAAGCAAGGUGAACCUUGCAGAAAGAGGGGAGGCAUCUCCUCCCCAAGGCCUCCCACAGGAGAGCCUAUUCACCCCUGAGCACAUGGAACCCUCACGUUACUGCACCUUGGGGAAGAAUGACGCUGGGUGAG